ACCACGAGCUUUCCUUUCCCUUCCAGAUCUUUAUCUUUGUCUCUCUCUCCGCUCACAAUCAUAAAAUUCUACUUCCUCAAGCACUCCAACACCAACUCCAAUCUUAGAUUAAAACAGUUCAAAUGACAGUGUAAGAAGUUACUGGUUUACCCAGAGUGCAGUCUAGAAAGGCGCUGGCAGGUGUGUGCAGCUUAUGUGCCGAACUGCUAAGCUCAGAUACCACUGAGUAAAGAGUAAUUUCAAGAGCAACAACUUCUCUCAACUCUUCCUCAAGUUUCUCAAACCUCGACUCCAUUUCUCCAAUCUUUUGUUCCAAAGAUGUUUUAUCUUCUUGCUCGCACUUCUCCUCGGUGUUGAUUGUUUCAUCAUCACUUUCAACACUUUGAGCACUAAUGGAAAUCUCAUCCAAAAAGUCUGCCUUUUCUACCUCUUAAUCUGGUUUUUUCCCAUGUGUGGUGCAUCUGUCAAGUUUGAUUUUAAGGAUUUUAUUUUAUUUAGAUUCAUGAAAUUAGAGUUUUUUUUGUGGUAAAAAAAUUGUACUGCCCUCUUCAAUUUGUGGUUGUUGAAUUACAUAUGCCCUAACCAUACCGUUAAUUCUGAUUGCUUUCUUUGAGGUUUUCAUCUGCGUCGUUGUGAUUAUUGUUCCUCCGUGUAUCUAGUCUCCUUAGCUUUGGCAAUUAUUGCUCUUUUUCUUGAUUUACUUAUCAUAGUUUAACUUUAUAAAAUUCAUUGCAAACUUUGAGUUGUUGAAUUAGUGCUUCUUGCGGCUUCUUCUCUGGCUAGCGCCUCUUAUAUAUUUAGUUAAUCUAGGUCUAUUAAUUCAAUGUACAUUAUCUCAAGUUAGCUAUGGAGAUUCUUCGGAAAACGGAUCGGUACCUAAUAUGGAACAACCCAUCACAUUUCUCUUUCGUUUUACAAUCAUGCAUCCAAGGAAACUCUUUUUUCCUCACCAAACAAUUACAUUCUCUCAUAAUAACCCCUGGUUGUUUCCGAGACAAAUUUGUUUCCAACCAUUUGCUUAAUGUGUAUACAAAUUGGGUUAGUUAGAUAUUGUAGUUCAACUGUUUGAUAAAAUGCCUAAAUGAAAUGUGAUGUCUUUUAACAUUUUGAUUAGUGAGUUUGUAUAAAUUGGUGAUUUGGGAAGAGCGUGUAAGCUGUUUGAUGAAAUGGAUGAGAGAAAUCUGGCUUCUUGGAAUGCGAUGAUUAUUGGGUUAACUCAGUUUGAGUUGAAUGAUAAGGCGUUGAGUUUGUUUACGGAAAUGUAUGGGUUGAGUUUGGGGAACUUGUCUGAUGCGUUUACACUUGGGAGUGUUUUAAGAGAAUGUGCUGACUUGAAGGAUUUGAACAAGGGGAGGCAGGUUCACCAUUCAUGGUUGUGUGUUGAAGUUGGGGUUAGAGGGUCAUUUUGUUGUUGCGAGUUCGCUGGCAUAAAUGUAUAUGAGGUCUGGUAGUUUAAAAGAAGGAGAGAUUGUGAUUAUGCCGAUACCUGCUCAAACUGUGGUGGCUUGGAAUACGCUACGAACGCUAAUACAACACACACAAUGCUAAAUUUUGAAUGGUACUUACCAAAAACCUAAACUAUAAGGUAUUCACGUGUGGUAACUCUAUAUGUAUUAUAAAGUGAAUUUCCUCCCAAAGUUUCGAAUGAGAUCCUCCUGGAACAAUAACUAUAGCUGUAAGAAGUUGAAGAAAGCUGAGGGGAAGGUAAGCUUGAACUAGUGCUGAAUUGACUAUCACUCACUGCUACAGCUGAUCAACCUUUUUGGCCUUUUUAGGCUUGACACCAACAGGUAUGCACGAUGACUAAUAAACUGGCAACAGGGUACAUACUGCCUGUAUUAACAGGGCAUGUCGUAGGCCUGAGAUGAUGUUUUGAAGCAACGGGAAUUUGAUCCCUUUCAUUGAGCAUCGAUGGUGAUAAACUUUGAGGACGUGGAACUACUGAUUGUUUAGGUCAUGUGGCUCUUGUCUUUGAGCUUAUGAAGCAGCUGGGAGAGACAAAGCCACAGUUGAAAUCCACGGUGGUUGCUGUUUUCAUAGCCAGUGAAGAAAACUCAUCUAUCCCGAGGGUUGGUGUGGAUGCGCUAGUGAAGGACGGAGUUCUUGAGAAGUUAAAGCAAGGCCCCUAUUCUUCUGGAGUGCUCCGAACCAUGGUCUUUGCAAAUACUGUAGAGGUCGUGGAAGCUGUUGCUAAAAUCUUGACAGGAGCUGGGCUUGAAUAUUUCUACUACCAUAAUGAUAGCUCUCUGAAGGAGCGCACAAAGAAUUUGCUUGAUUUCCAGCAGGAAGAUGGUGUUUUUGUGUGCACAGAUGAUGCAACACAUGGUAUUGACAUUCCAAAUGUUUCACAUGUUAUUCAGAUUGUGCUCUUUAUCAUCACUCCUAACAUGAAUCGACCCAUUCCUCUGGUGACAAAAGAACAGUUGGAGAUUGUUAUUUUGGCAAAAUGAAUUCCAAGAAUCUCUAGGAUGAUACCAUUAAACAAAGAAAUAACAAGGACAACAGGCUUUUCUACUGAAACGGCGUUGACUGGAGCUGCUCUCAUUUUAUUCCAACUCAUGAUUGUCAGUAAUGUACUUGGAGCCUAUUUGUAUUUGUUCACAGUGGAAAGACAAUAUGACUGCUGGUUCAAAAUAUGUAAUGGUAUCAAAACCUGUGGAUUAGAAUGUGCAUGAUUGAAUGACCUGUUGGAAAAAAGAGACUGGUUGGCACAUUCCAAAAUAAGGAAUCAUAGAGUUGCUUCUGGGCAUUCCUUGUGCUUGGUUGAGUUGAAACAGUACUUACUUUUUGAAUCUUCGGGCGGUGCAGAGAGAAGUUAUGGUGGUUGCUAUCUUGAUUUCUUAAAGAAAGAAUGAGAAAAUGGAAAGCUUGCUUUGUGAAAAUGGGAAGAGAUUUUGUGUUUCUAGAGCUGCAUUAUCUAUGAUGGGCACCCCGAAGUUGGGGUACUUGGUGGAAAUUGUUGAUGAGUGUGCAGUUUUGGUUUGUUUGAAUGUAGUUUUAGGAUUAAGUUUUGUAUUGACAGAGAUCGAUGAUUGGUCUAGAUCGUCACCAGUUGUUAUGGAACAGUGCCAGGAAGCUCUUUCUGGCAUGUAUUACUUGCUUCAACGAUUUCCUUUGAAAUUUGUUGGUGUAGAUUCCAAUGUUUUAGAGAGAAUUUUGUUUA